rnacentral:rRNA from 1 species
UACGUAGGGUGCAAGCGUUAAUCGGAAUUACUGGGCGUAAAGCGUGCGCAGGCGGUUAUGUAAGACAGAUGUGAAAUGCCCGGGCUUAACCUGGGAACUGCAUUUGUGACUGCAUGGCUAGAGUUUGGCAGAGGGGGGUAGAAUUCCACGUGUGAGCAGUGAAAUGCGUAGAUAUGUGGAGGAACACCGAUGGCGAAGGCAGCCCCCUGGGU